AGGGUCUAGCCUGCCUGCC
rnacentral:miRNA from 1 species